GUUGGGUUAGUGUAAUGGGUAACAUGCAUUCCCCUUUGAAGGGUGCUUGCUUCUCUGGGUUCAAAUCCCAGACCCGAAU
rfam:Aspergillus rambellii strain SRRC1468 contig00431, whole genome shotgun sequence.